UUAUUUUGAAUUUUUUCAAGAACACGGGUGUAGAUGAGCCCGAAAGCAGAAACACCGCGCCCCUAAAUCAAUUGCUAAAAUUGUAAAAGAAGCACACGGUUCAGGGCCUCAUUAACCUCGAUCUGAAAAUCUGAAGAAGAUGCAUCGUAGAAAUGAACCAUCUAUGAUGGAGGACCGUCCUCAGUUCGAAAUAAAGAGAUUUAAGCUCCAAUUAUACAACGCUUUCCAAUCCCUUUGAGACCAAACCCAACCCAAUCCAACUCAAGAGGCUCAAGAUAAUUUCCAAUCUUGGUGGACAGGGCUUGAAGAAUUGUCUACCGGCAUCGAACACUUGACAGGGCUUGAAGAAUUGUCUGUAGAAAUCGGGUUUCUGAGGUGCCACGGGAUGCGACAAGACAAGCACACAAUCUUCCUCGAGGGGUGCUUUCGACANNNNNN
rnacentral:lncRNA from 1 species